UCUAAUAUCUAUCACCCUGCAGCCCAAGACUGGUUGCCCACUGAAGCUAAGCAGGGCUGAGCCUGGUCAUUACCUGGAUGGGAGACCUCCUGGGAAAACUAGGUUGCUGUUGGAA
rnacentral:rRNA from 1 species